rnacentral:rRNA from 1 species
UUAAAUUGAAGAGUUUGAUCAUGGCUCAGAUUGAACGCUGGCGGCAGGCCUAACACAUGCAAGUCGAACGGUAACAGGAAGCAGCUUGCUGCUUUGCUGACGAGUGGCGGACGGGUGAGGUAAUGUCUGGGAAACUGCCUGAUGGAGGGGGAUAACUACUGGAAACGGUGGCUAAUACCGCAUAACGUCGCAAGACCAAAGAGGGGGACCUUCGGGCCUCUUGCCAUCAGAUGUGCCCAGAUGGGAUUAGCUUGUUGGUGAGGUAACGGCUCACCAAGGCGACGAUCCCUAGCUGGU